CCUUGGAGUAAUAAACAUAUGGUCUUUAAUGAGUUUUUGAAAUGAGUUACAUGAUUUUUGAGUUUCCACAGCUAUUCUUACAGCCUUUCCCUUGUGUGGAUUUUUGUUGAAUUUUAAAAGCCCUGAGGCCUGAGCACUGUCCCUGGCUUCUUUUUGCUCAAG